rnacentral:lncRNA from 1 species
CAGCGCUGAGAAGACACGCAGCGGCGUCCUCGGCGGGUCUGCGUGUGUGUGGCCACCGGCAACACGUAAGGCAAGCGCAGGAUGAGUCGGGUAACGGGGAGUGCCAAGGAGAAAGGUCCGGGAGGAAGGGAUGUGCGGUGUCGGGAGGGAGGAUGCUGGGGCGCUCGAGGAAGACCCACUGGGGUCUUUGCUCUGGGCAGUGCAGCCACAGGCUAAGAUUUAGGACAAGGCUUAUCCCUUAACUCACGAGGGAAGGGACGGGAGUGUUCAGCCUGAGGUUGGAGACCACCGCACCCCUGUUCCGCAAUUCAUGGCAGUGACAGGCUUUGUCACAACACCCAGCCCUUCAAGGGCUGCCUUGGGGUGAGUAGGGGAGGCCUUAUUCCUCAAGGGAGGGAGGGGGCAGGGGCUUGGAUUUAUAAACUACAAUUUCAGAAGCUAUUUGAAAAGGUUUCUGACGAAGCAGUAAGAAUGUAACUUUCUGCCCGGGAUCUCUGCUGUGAGGUGACGUUUUGAGGAGAGGAUGGCUUCGUUGUCCCCCACGGUAGAUUUCCAGGACACUCACUGAGCCAUAAACGUGUCCCUCCUGGCACCGUCCGUUUUCACCAUCAAAGCCAGAGGCGCAGAGGAACAGGGAUGUGGGAGGGGAGGGGAUGAUGUGUCCUCUUCCAGUCCACACGACCAGUCUGGGGUUCUCCGUCCCGUGUGACCAUCUCCAGGGGGGGUCUUUGAGGCUUUGCUGAGGUCCUGUCUGGGCGGGAGGUGGUUGAUGGCAGCAGCGUUGCCAAAGGGCCGGGAGAAGAGUUGAGUUCUGAGUGCGAAUCUUGACUCAUGGGCCUUAUUCAUCUGUGAGUUUUCUGGAGGGUUUGACCAGCGGAUCCUACCUCCUCCCUGAACACCUACUCUCCUCCUUGGGUCUCAUUUCCCUUUUCUGUUAACUCUUACUGUGCAGUGACUCCCUUCAGAGCUCGUGACUCGGUGCUGCCGACUCCCCUGAACUCCAGGCCCACAUUUGGACAUGAGACACAUCGUCGUGGGUAUGUACAGAACAGGGGUCCUGGCCUCCCCCGACCCCACCUCCCCUCACUGCCUGCCUUCUGCCUCAGUUAUGGCCACUCCAUGCUUCCAGGCACAGAAGUCAGAUCUUGAAGCCACCCUGCCUCCUCAUUCCCUACAUCUGGUCCUUGAGUGCAUUCUGUUGGCUCUCUCUUCAAAGUAUAUCCGGAACUGUGUUUGACUUGUUCCAGACUGCCACCCUGAUCCUGCUCUAGAUUUCAAAAGGCUCUAAGAAAUGGUAACUAACUGCAACGCAAAACGAAAAUACACGUAGAAAGAUGUUUGCAGGGACUCCUGUGUGGCUCAGUCGGUGAAGCGGCCGACUUCGGCUCAGAUCACGACCUUGCGGUUUGUGAGUUCGAGCGCAGAGCCCAUUUUAGAUCCUCUGUCUAACCCUCCCCCCUUGCUCUUUCAGAAAUAAACAUUUAGAGAACUGGGGAAGUUAGAAUGCGUCACGAGGCACAUCUGGGUGGCUCAGUCAGGUUAAGCGUCCGACUCCGUUUUGGCCGAGGUCAUGAUCUCAGUUCUUGAGACUGAGCCCCAUGUCAGGCUCUACGCUGACAGCACAGAGCCUGCUUGGGAUUUUCUCUCUCUCCUCUCUUCCCUCCCUCACUCUCUCAGAAUAAACAUUAAAAAAAGAAAAAAAAAAGUGUCAUGAUAUUAGAUGAUAUUAUGGGAUAAUUGUUCACAUGGGCCUGAUGCUGGCAUUAGGCCAU